CAGCUAUAGGGUCCUGAACUGUUAACAAAAUCAUGGAGUCAGGGAAGCGCUUCUAUUUAUUAAAGAAUACUUGAGGGAGUAUUCAUAAUUCAUAUCUGUUACCUGGGUGACUAGAGCGUAAAGAGGCAGGGUCACAUAGCUGCACAGAACUUGAAUGACAACCCUGUAAAAUUUGUAACUUGUACAUUAGUUUAGAAAAACAGGAGGGAACUACCAUGGCACAGUCAGGCAAUAAUUUCCAACACAGGAGCUCAAGAAUGAUCGGUGGUUGGUGUCUAGCCGUUUCUUUAGGAAUGUUCCUAUUAUAUUUGCAAGAGGAGGGAGCUUACCCCACUGUAAGUCUAAUGACAAUAGCCGCAGUGCCUCGGUGGAAGCAAGAGUCUAUUGAGAAUUCAUACUGAAACACAAACAACAAAUGGCAAAGGCAACGUCAGACAGGUUACAGGAACAGCACUGCGGAAAACCAUAUGAUGGGACUGCAAGUGCCAAUAGGUUGAAGAUCAGAUUGCCAGGUCAAGUUAUUCAAUGAAAUAAAGCAAAUUAAGCAUUACAUGAUACAUGAUGUCUGUUACCUUAUUCCCACCACAACUUUGAAGUCCUCCUCAAGUGAUCUAUUAAUGUACUUCUGGAAAUCGAAUUUUGAUUCGCUUCCGGGGGCCAAAUGAGCCUACAAUUACAUGGUCAAUUUUGGGGUUGCCUUUUGAACUGAAUUUAAAGCUUUUAAUUUAGACA